rnacentral:rRNA from 1 species
GACGAACGCUGGCGGCGUGCUUAACACAUGCAAGUCGAACGGAAAGGCCCUGCUUUUGUGGGGUGCUCGAGUGGCGAACGGGUGAGUAACACGUGAGUAACCUGCACUUGACUUUGGGAUAACUUCAGGAAACUGGGGCUAAUACCGGAUAGGAGCUCCUGCUGCAUGGGGGGGGUUGGAAAGUUUAGGCGGUUGGGGAUGGACUCGCGGCUUAUCAGCUUGUUGGUGGGGUAGUGGCUUACCAAGGCUUUGACGGGUAGCCGGCCUGAGAGGGUGACCGGCCUCCUGAGGACUAAGGGAGGGCGCAGUCGGGUACGGGAGGCAGCAGUGGAGAGUCUUGCACAAUGGGCCGACGCGUGAUGCAGAAACGCCGCGUGCGGGAUGAAGGCUAUCGGGUUGUAAACCGCUGUAGCCUGUGACGAAGCGUGAGUGACGGUAAUGGGUAAAGAAGCACCGGCUAACUACGUG